rnacentral:piRNA from 1 species
UGGCUGUGACCAGCUGGUGCAGAUCUGA